AUGCCGGCGACGUGCGCGGCCUUCUUGAACGAGAAGUGGGUCUGGUCGGAGCAGUAGACGACGAGGUCGCCCAUCCUCUCGUCGCCUCUUAGUUCGGCGAGCUUCCGGUCCCUCGCGGCGACGAUGGUGCAGAGCAUGGCCUCGCACGAAGUCCCCAGCAGCGUGCCGCCGCCGCCACCGCAGAAGAGCAGCUGCUCCGGGAGGUGCAGCGCCUUCCCGAGCCAAUCUGUAACAACGGUCUCUAGCUCGGUGGCCGCCGGCGAGGCGGCCCAGGUGAAAGGGUUGAUGUUGAGGCCCGCGGCUAGGGCCUCGCCGAGCGCGCCCACAUUGCUGGCCGUCGCCGCGAAGUGCGCGAAAUGACGGGGGCUCUGCCAGUGGGUGACGCCGGGAAGGAUGAGCUCGCGGACGUCGCGCAGCGCCGAGGCGAGCGCGUCGGGCUCCGGCCACGACGGCGCCGUGUCGGGAAGCUGCCGGGCUAGGAACCCGGGAGCGACGGUCGGGCGAACAGGGUACUCGUCAAUGCGGUCGUAG
rnacentral:rRNA from 1 species